CAUCUUUCUCAAGAGAGUGUGUGUAUGUGUGUGCAUUUCACUCCAGCCUGGGUGACAAGAGCGAAACUCCACCUCAAAAAAAAAAAAAAGCUACAAAUUGGACUCACCAGCUGCUACUGGAAUUGACUGGACCUGCUAGGGUGAAGGAGUGUGGCUGCAGAGACAUUGACAAGAACAGAAAGCCAAGAGAAAUAACGAAUCC
rnacentral:lncRNA from 1 species